UUUUUUUUUGGUUAGAUCCUGGCAAACAAUCACUUUUGAUAAACAGCCUGCAUCUUUUAUCAGAAUAGUUGGAACUCAGAACACAGCUAAUGAGGUGUUUCACUGUGUGCAUUUUGAGUGCCCUGCACAAAGUGGUACCCACAAGGAUGAGGGUUGUAAGGAAGUGGCAACGACAGAGGUGGGGACUGGUGAACAACAGCUUGUUUCUCGUCCUGUUCGAGCUGCAAGCACUAGUUCUUUGCAUUCCCCUCCUGGAUCCACCUUGCGUUCGCAUGCUCACCAACCGUAAAGGAGAUUGAAAGGGAGCUUUUGCUGCCCCACUGACAUUAUAUAAAAUUAUUCAGAACCUUCUUGUGCUGGCACCUUUUCUUUCUUCUUCACUGUGAAGAAAGGGGACCAUGUCUUAUAAUGCUGAAAUGGCAAAGGCUUUUCCCAAGGACAUGAAGAGACUGCUUCACUCUUCUCAAUUUGUUCAAAUCAGGCUGGUCUCCAAAGGGGGAGAAAAUAGGUCUUCAAUCUUCAUCAAGUACCCCAUUAACACCUUACCUCUCUAAUCUAACCAAGGCAAGGAGAACAGAAGAAAAUAAAAGGCAGAGCUACAAUGAAAAUCUAAGAUGACUUGAGCAGAAUGGAAGGCAUAUGAAAUAACUAUUUGUUCCCUGAAGGCUUCCAUUAGCAAAGAAAAUGUUUAUGGAACACAUCAGUACAGAAUAUGUGUUAUUUUUGAAAGUUAUUCUUCAUUCAUAUUCCUUUGUAACUAGUAAUCUCUUUCAAAAAUUGUUUUAACUCUGCAUCCUGCUUUCUCUCUUAUUUUUGGCUGCAGCAAAUGCUGUGCAGUAGAUUAAGGAAAUAUCAAACAUGUUUACCUGCUGAGAUGCAAAUUCCCUCAUUCAUCAGUGGGAUGUCAAGAAAAGCCUUUAUGAUAUCAACAAACUAAUUAAUGGAUGCUGUAUUAAUCUUGACCCUAGUCAGCUUUUCAAAGCACAAAAUUGUCAUUUCUUAUAGUCAAAAGGAAAAUUUUGAAAUCAAACUUCUAUCUUGAGAAAAGCUUAUUUUUCACUCAUGAAGGUGAUUACUUAAAUUUUACUCAUAUUUCUAAGACAACUUGCAACAGAUCAUCAAAAAUAUUUGAUCUAGAAAGUGAAAAUUCAUCUGGUCACUGACAAGCAUUUGUUCAGAAUACAAAGGAAAGAAUUUGCAUAAAGCUAUUUUUAUCCAAGAAAUUAUGCUUUACAGCCUGGAUCUAAAAAUUUAAGGGCCACACAUAAACUUUCUCAUAGUCUUCAUAGAGUGUUAUGCUUUUACACUGUAUUGUAAGGGAUCUGGCUCUCAUUUUACAUCACAGAAUUAAUUAUCCAUCCAUGUGUGUAUUAAAUUGCUUACUACUUCACUUAUUCUACAUGCUUACACAUCAAUGAGAUUGCAACCUUUCGCUUUCCAGAUCCAGAUGACUUAAGAAAAGCUCCUUGUUGGUCUUUCAGUAUGUGAAGAAGUGUUUUGUAUUAUGACAAACACUGAUGUAAUUGACAAAAUUGAUUAGGAGGAUUGUUAUUCCUCUCAAAGCAUAUGCUGAAAAUGUCAGCCAUCCAGUUUUAUGAACAUGGAAUUUCCUGCGGUGACAGAUAGCCUUGUCAGAAGAAAACAAAGCUAGUAUAGGAUAAAUAUGGUUUUCCUUUGCAUUACCAUAGUGAUAAAAUGAGCUACAUAUCAAUAUAGCAAAUAGUAUGCUAAUUUAUCACAAUAUGUAAUUUGAAAGAAUUUCCCUGCUGUGUGCUGGUUGUGCUUAAAACUGGAAGAAAUACAACAAAUGGCAGCAAUGAAUCAGUAGAAACAUCAUAGGAGAAAUGCUUUCUCUUUGUUGUUUCCAAUAAAAUUGACUAGACUUCAUCAAGAAUAUUACAGUAUUUUCCCACUGUUGUUGUCUGUCUUGUGAUGUCUGUCAGUGAAGAUGCAUGCAACUUCAUUGUCUAUCAUUUUUAAUACAUGCCAUGGCUGCCUCAUGCAGCCUUGAGUUCUGAGGCAGGAUCUUGCUUAUGAGCCAGCGCCCAGUCUUGGUUGCCGAUUACCUUAUGGCUUAGAAGCCUUUGGAGCAUGAAACAAUUGAGACUAGCUACUGGGGAUGCAAUUGUUUUGUGUAAGUAUAGGUCCAAAAAGUUGGAUUUUUUUUUUUUUUUUGAAAAGUAAAAACAAAAAGAUCUAUUCUAGUUGUAGUACAUGUCGAAACUUACUGAGAUGAAUGGAGCAUGUCUUGUCUUUGGUAGUUAAGACCUUUCGUGUCAGUGAUGAUAUUUCUCUGCAGUUUGAUCAAACAAAUGUACUUUUUCAAGUUGUGGACACGCAAGGGGUGUAACCUAGCUGCUAGUCAUUGUUAUAGAAAAUAUUUAAUUAUUAAAAAAAACAAAAGACAAAAAAACAAGAAAAAGAAGUUUGUGCCAGAUGUUCUGAGUUUAGGCGCUCAGAGAAAGAACAGGAUUUUCAGUUUGUAAUCUUUGAUGUGCACAAUUAAUUUUUUGGAUACUAAUAAGCCUUACAGACCAUACGCUACUGCAGAUUCUUUUUGAUCUUGCUCUGUGACUCACUGCUGACGAAAAAUGUCGAUUUAUUUCCCAUGACAUUAGUGCUCUGCCAAGAAUCUGAAUGAAAAGAUAAGAGAAUCUCAAAGCAAAAAGAAUCAGGUCCUAUAGAAAUUCUAAUUCCCACCCCCAAAAAUCAUUCAAAACAAAAGCCAGUAUAGCACUGUCCUUUCUUACAGUCUUUAUCCCUUCCACAACUUAACAAUUUCUACCUUUUCAUUCAAAGAAAUAGUGUCUAAGGGACCUGAACUUUGCUUGUUCUUCUAACAUUAUCCACCCUCAAACACCCCCAAAAUCUUUGUGGCCUAGUAUAGUCUCUGCCUUAAACACAGUGCCAGCAAAAUAUUACUACUGGCAAAGGAUAAUAUCACACAGGACUGACCUGUGCUUUUGUGUGAGUAUUCUCAUGCUUUCUAAGCAUUCUCUGCAUUUAUUAACUCCUAAUAUGAGAUGUAGCUCUUGAAUGUUCUUCUGAAAUCUAGGUUUUUUUUCUUGCAGUGGAAAUAAAUUGUGCUGUUAUGGCUUAAUAUCAGGGCACUUAUAAACAUCAGGGUUUAACUGAGUCAUGAGAUACUAUAAUUAUUCAGAACUGCAUGAUCACUUUCUUUAAUUACAACAGAGGUUGAGGAGAACUGACCAGCUGUUCAUUGCAUUCUUGUCAGAAACUAUAAGACAGACCUGUUGUCAGCUUUCUAGACAAUGGAAUUAAUUGUAUUGCCAAUUCUGAACCAUUUUGUCUAGUUAGUACUUCAGCUGUAGUUAUCAUUAUCUUUAAACUCCCUUGUCCUCUUUUUCUCUUAUUUUUCUUCCAUUGAUUGAAUUCAGACUUAGGGCCAACUCAUAUGUAGCUUCUAAAUUCUCUUUAUUUAAUGAACUAGUCCCAAGUAAAUUUUAAAGAUUUUUAUUCACAGAAAUCUGUGUGACCAAAAAUUAACUUCAGCAACAGUAAAUUCAGUAUUUGUAAAACUGAUUUAUAUGUGAAAAUGAAUUUCUAAAGUAAGCAAAAAUUGUGCAGUUCUGCUUUCAAACAAACUCUAAAACAAGCUUGAAUGACAACAGGAAUGGCAAUGAGAAAUUAAUCCAAGAAUUACAUAAAAGACAGCAGAGAGGAAGAAUCGGCCAGUGUUCUUAGGAAAGCAACUGUUUUUCAUUGCUUUCCUUCCUUUACAGCUCCAUUUAAUCCUUUUUCCAUGCAAAUCUGUUUUGUUUGUUCAAUAUGACAGUUCAUGGUGGAGCUCUGCUGAAAAGUUGAAAUGAACUUAAUGCUUCUUCAUCUUUACUAAUCAUAACAACAAAUCAGAGAGUCUUCAGUUUAUUACCUAACUUGAUUUCCAUGAGAGAAAAGAAAGCAAAUGAUAUCAGUAGUUUUUUCACUUUAACUAAAUUAAGUUUUCUAGCCAAACGCACGUGAGUAUCUACUCACAUGCUUUGUACAUCUGAAGUGUGAAGAUUAGAAGGCAAAGUUAGCGUCAUUUUUGUCUGAUUGUUCCGUGAUCAUUCUGGUUAUACACUGUCACCCACUCAGAGACCCUUGAUAUGGAAUCAGAAUUCAGCUGUGAUUUCAGAGGAAGCAGAAAAGCUAUACAUUGUUUUUCCCCUAAGAAAAUGUUUGUUGGUUUCUAUUUUGACAGGUGAUAACUUACCAUCAAAUUGGCAAAUGAAAGCAUUGGUAAUUUGUUGUUGUGACUGGAGCAGUCAGCAAACACCAGAGCCAGUGGUAUUUAAUGGGGUAUUUAAGAGUAGACAUUUAGGCUUGUAUGUUAUUUUAGCAGUUACUACAGGAUAAAACUGCUUAGAAGAUAGUACUUUGUGGAUCCCAGAAUUCUUGAGGCCUGGCUCCCUUUCCCUUCUCUUAAUCGAUGAUGUGUUUAGGUUAGAAUCCUCAGCUAUCUCUGAACUGGUUCCCAGCAGUUGUACUAGUUAAAUUACAUAUAGAAGCUCCACAGGUUUUGUACAGGAUACAGUUAAUAAAAGUACUGGGUCAAAUUUUUAAUGGAAUACCAUAUUCAUAUCCCAUAUACCAAUUUUAAUUGGAAUACCAUGUUCGUAUAUGUGUUAAAUGGAGCUUAGUAGCUUAUCAUUUAGCUUGAAUUUAGAAUAGGUUCCUAAAACUCCUAAACUGAGAAAAACAGGGUGAAAUGUUAAUAUCUGUGGUAUGGCAGGAUGUGAAAUCACUGUUACGGUUGCUUAAAAUGUGCAAACGUCUAAGUAAGGUAUGGAUGAGCAGGUCCAAAGCUGGUUUGGCCAAAGUUGUUAGGAAUUGGUGAUUUGGCUGUAGUGAAUAAAAGAGAGGAAAUGAGGAAAUCAAAUGCUCAUCUCAAAGACAUUUAUGCAGUCCAAUGAACACAGACAUGUUGCUCCUGGGUGCCUUGCAUGUGACUUGUGCUCUUUACAGAGUGCAUCUCCAUAUGAAUUUUGCUAACUGCUUUGAGAAGUCUGCACCUACAGACUUCUCAAAGGCCGUUCACAAGCUUUAUUGCAGUGUUGACUUAGGUAAUGUAGAAGUCAUACCAAGAGUCCAUGACAGAAUUUGAGUCAGCUUAUCUUUGGAAAUGGUUUUAUUACAGAAACAAAGCCCAGAUUAACAUAAUGUAGUAUAACAUGAGGAAAAUGCUAGUAUCUGGUACUUACACAUAGAUUAACUAGAUUUUCUAAUACUGUAUGUAUUUAAUUACUACGAUAUACAUACAAAUGGUGGAAGUAAGUGAACCACCAGCACUACACUUAGGUAAUACGCCCUUGGUAGUAGAUAUUAUCAGCCCAUCAGGAAAUCAGAGUUUUUCUUUUCCCGCUCCUACCAGCCAAAUAGAACAGCAUAAGUAAAUGUUCAGAAAUAAAAAAGAAUAAUUACUUUGUUACAUAAAUGUCAUGGGAGUUUAGAUUAUCGUCGCUAAAAAUCUGAAGGAGUGGUGACUUCUGUCUGCUUAGGUAUAAAUCUGCCUCCCCAGUGCCUCCUGCUGCUGAAGGCCUUGAGCUUUUGUAGUGGAUGGAGAGCUACACUGUUCGUAGUACAUUUCUUUGUCAGAACUUUUACUCAUCUCUUUUGUGUUUAGCAUCUUGGCAUAUCCAUUCUGUUAGAAGAAGGUAAGCUGGUUUCUCACAGCUUUCAGAGUUACUCAUUGACUCCUGCAGGCUGGCAGAUACAUCUCCGCAGAUGUCUGUAUUAAGCAGUUUGCAAAACUGUUUUACAACAAAUGCUGCGUGUCCAAACAGUGCCAGCUGAUCUUGAAAUAUCUUAAGUUGGGCUGUAUUAUUGUUGAGAUGAGGGUUUGCACCUCUAAAACUCUGUGCCAUGCAAUCCAAGUGAACAGUAGUGGCUGCAGAUUCUUUCUGGAGAGAAAGCAGGGAAUUUGCACACAUACCAGAAAUAAUUCAUUUUCUCUGUGUUGUUUUUGUUCUACAUCCUGUGUCUCUGUACUCCUAAGCUAUCAUUGCUAGGUGGUUUAUGAUUAAAACCUAGAAUCCAAUAAAUAAGUUUAACAAUUGACAUCAAGAACUUUUGUCUUUAAUGAGAAGUUAUAUAUUGUGUUUUUGAAGCAUGAUUUGUCCCCUGAAUUGUUUAUCAGCAUCUUCUAUAGUUGGAGUUGUGAGGAGAAAGGCUGUUAAAUAGUUGCAUGCAUGCAUUUGUUUCACAAGUUGAAGUGACUUGGCAAAAAAGUGUUUUUACAUGCCUUUUUUGUUGUGUGUGUGUAGUGAAUUUUGGCAAGGAAUCUAUAGUUAAACUGAAUGUGGAUGAUGAACUGAGGAAGAGAAUGUAAUGCAGGCAGCAAGAUUUUAUUCAUUUUAAUGGGAAGAGCAACAUGAAGGUCCGAUUCCUGUAGUCUGAGCUACUGCUUGUCUCCUGUCCUCACAGCUCUUACUUUUUCCUACAGGAUUCCCCCAGACUGCCUGUUUCUCCUUUUCUUUUUCUCCCUAUCUGGAAUCAUACUGCUGUUGCUGCAGUGUUUCCUGGAACUUUAAUCUAGAAUAUAUUAAGUAUUUAAAUUUAUUUGAUUUAAAUUUACACCUUUUUUUUUUUUUUUUUGUUAUAUACAGAAUUCAGUAGCCUAGUCCCAGUUCAUUCACAUCAGAUUUAAAAGUCAAUUACUACUGUUAAGAGAUAGUGAGUUUUAAUUUGACUGUCUGUGGAUAUGGAAAAUAUCCACAAACUAGCUGUUUUCAAGUUUCUACUUUCAUAAUCUGAACUCUGUUUUCUUUAAGAGAAAAAUCAGUUGAGAGAUUUUCUGUUGAUUUAAGUGGUAGGUCAGGAUUUGUGUGGGCUUAUCUAAUUUAAAUCAAAUAUAAUUGUGUUUCUUGUUCAUUGUGAUGUUCAUAUAUGUUCAAUUUGUUAGUUGUUCAUUGCUCAAUGUUCCAGUUGUAUAUAAGUAUUGUUUUCUCAAUAAACUGCAUCAUCAAAAGUGAA